AAGAGGUUUUUUGAUGUUUUCAUCAAAACUUCCCACCCUUUGUUAUUUCUGUCUGAAAUUUACAGCUUCGGUAAGACUGGUUGAUUUGUUGUUUAUCAACAAGUCAAACGAUUGACAGUUUGUCACAAAACUGUUGAUUAGUGCUUACCGUUAGCAUAUUAUACUCUGAUAAUUUGAUUUGUCUGAUAAACCAAAAAAAUUAAUCA
rnacentral:misc_RNA from 1 species